rnacentral:rRNA from 1 species
GACGAACGCUGGCGGCGUGCUUAACACAUGCAAGUCGAACGGUAGCACAGAGAGCUUGCUCUCGGGUGACGAGUGGCGGACGGGUGAGUAACGUCUGGGAAACUGCCCGAUGGAGGGGGAUAACUACUGGAAACGGUAGCUAAUACCGCAUAACGUCGCAAGACCAAAGUGGGGGACCUUCGGGCCUCACACCAUCGGAUGUGCCCAGAUGGGAUUAGCUAGUAGGUGGGGUAAUGGCUCACCUAGGCGACGAUCCCUAGCUGGUCUGAGAGGAUGACCCGCCACACUGGAACUGAGACACGGUCCAGACUCCUACGGGAGGCAGCAGUGGGGAAUAUUGCACAAUGGGCGCAAGCCUGAUGCAGCCAUGCCGCGUGUAUGAAGAAGGCCUUCGGGUUGUAAAGUACUUUCAGCGGGGAGGAAGGCGAUGUGGUUAAUAACCGCAUUGAUUGACGUUACCCGCAGAAGAAGCACCGGCUAACUCCGUGCCAGCCGCCGCGGUAA